AUUGAACGCUGGCGGCAGGCCUAACACAUGCAAGUCGAACGAGUGGCGGACGGGUGAGUAAUGUCUGGGAAACUGCCUGAUGGAGGGGGAUAACUACUGGAAACGGUAGCUAAUACCGCAUACCAUCAGAUGUGCCCAGAUGGGUUUAGCUAGUUGGUGGGGUAACGGCUCACCAAGGCGACGAUCCCUAGCUGGUCUGAGAGGAUGACCAGCCACACUGGAACUGAGACACGGUCCAGACUACUACGGGAGGCAGCAGUGGGGAAUAUUGCACAAUGGACGCAAGCCUGAGGCAGCCAUGCCGCGUGUAUGAAGAAGGCCUUCGGGUUGUAAAGUACUUUCGGCGGAGAGGCGUUACCCGCAGAAAAAGCCGCGGCUAACACCGUGCCAGCAGCCGCGGUAAUUC
rnacentral:rRNA from 1 species